rnacentral:lncRNA from 1 species
AAGAACCAAGGUCGUUGAAGAAAAAAAACAAUAAAAGAGGAACUACAAAAAAAUAAACUUAUUUGGAGGUGGUCACGAAUGAUCACUGCAGAGGGUCACAGACGAUCGCGGCGGAGGGCCGCAAAGGGGAAGGAGGAAGGGGGAAAGGGGUCGCGAGGCCGUGGAGGGGAGGGGGAGCCACAAGGCCGAGGAAGGGAAAAUGAGGUCAUGAAUGUAUGAGGGGAUGGGGGGAAGGAGAAGGAAGAUGAAGGUGGAGGAGAAGGGGAGUGACAGGGGAAAAAAAAGGAAGAAGAUGAAAGGUCAGGAGAG